CACCAUCCUUACCAUGAAAGAGAAGAGGUUGUGAUUCCUCACUCUGUGUGAUGGUGCUGAUGCUGCUUCUUUAAUAGAUAAUAGAGACGUGCACAGAUACUGAUGCUCAUGUUCACCUCAGAUGGCCAUCCGAACAAGCUUAGUUCAGCCAGCAGAACCAACAGGAAGUCAAUAACAGUUUAAAAUCCUGAAAGUGGAAAAUGAAGCCAAGUUAGAAAUUGCAAGAAUAGAAUGAUGGCAUCAAACAGGAGAAAGAGGAUUAUAGUCAACCUAACCCAGAAAGAGGAAACUAACCUUCAGACAUAUGUGGGAAAUAAUUAUCUAAUCCAUAUUGUAACAUGGGAUCGGGGAUUGUUUAACAAGAAAAGUUCAUGCAAAUGUCAUGCUGCUCCAGUCUCAGAAGAUGAAUGUGAUAAGAAGUGUGUUUCAAGAAGAGUAUUUACAUCAGUCAUCCAGAAAUUUGUUUACUCUAGUCUGAAAUCUAUGCCAAGUUAUUGCAAACAUUUUUAGGAUUUGUGUUAUGCAAUUCCAGAAGGGCUGCUUAUGUUAUGGGCAUGUAUUCUGGUCUUUGAUCUGUGCUACAGAAAUUAAAGCAGUUCCACAGAUGCCAUAGGAAUAGAGAGGCAUGCUGCGAGUUUCCAAAUAUUCUUAGAUUUCUGAGAGUGAUAUAAAUGAAAAUAGAGGCUCCUUUCAGUCUGUCAGUCAUUUACACUAAUUCUAGGACUGAAUUCUGUUUAGAUAUUAAAUUUUAAAAAAUGGCAUAUGGUUAAAAUUAGUGGAUGAGGGCUCCUGGGAGUUUAGUACUAAAAUUAGAGAAAGGUGUGAGUAUCAGCAGAGGGAAAAUAGAAAUAUUAUAGAAAAUUUUCUCUCUGUUGAUACUCGCACCUUCUUGUCAACUGUUGAGAACAGGCUAUUUCCACCUUAAUUGAAUUGGCCUCGUUAGCACUGACCUCCCCACUUGGUAAGGCAACUCCCAUCUUUUCAUAUAUAUACUGCUUACUGUAUUUUUCACUCCAUGCAUCUGAUGAAGCGGGUUUUAGCCCAUGAAAGCUUAUGCCCAAAUAAAUUUGUUAGUCUCUAAGGUGCCACAAGGACUCCUUGUUCUUUUAACUUUACAACUGUAAUCUUCGUUUUCCUCAAUGGGCUGUUGCUUUCAGUGAUUGCCUCACAUCUACCAUUCAGAUGUAAGAUCUUCAAGGUAGGGACCAUGUCUAUGUGGUCUGUAAUGCAUCUGGCACAGUCUGGAUGCUGUAUAAAUAACGCUAGUACAGAUGACUCACUCCUACAAAACACAACUUAAACAACUGAGUGUGCUUUAUCUGUGAAUGAAAGCCUUUACAGUCAACAAAUCAGUAUGCUAUUGCACACUAAUGAAAAUAGGCCCAACCUCACAGAAAUUCACCUUUGCAGCUGUUAGCCCCUGGGAGCUUUCCAGACCUCCUGAGCUCCACAGCUCCCUACUGUGACCAUGACAUCUGCCUGCUCCCUUUGCACCUGUUUAAUAAUGAAUUAGGCAUUCCACACAGCCACAUUUUUCAAGGUGUCCAAUAUCGUCCGCAUUCCCCGGAGUCUAGAGAAUGAAUGGAAACUCCAUUGAGCAUGCUCAUGGAAUUCUGUAUGUGUCUAUAGGUGCUAUAUAAAUGCUAUUAAAUGACAACAUUACCAAAAAAAAGCCCAUAAAUCUUCACAGAGGGUUUUUAUUCCCUUUGACUGCUCUUUAAGAAUGUAGCAAGGCAGAAGUGUGCUUACAAAUAAACAGAUUUGAAUAUGAGCAAUUUGUGUCAUUGGCAAUAAUCGAUUUUUGCUCAUACAAACCUGCAUAAU